CCUACGGGAGGCAGCAGUGGGGAAUAUUGGACAAUGGGCGCAAGCCUGAUCCAGCAAUGCCGCGUGUGUGAAGAAGGCCUGCGGGUUGUAAAGCACUUUAAGCAGGAAAGAAAGGCGGGAGGUUAAUACCCUUUUGCUGUGACGUUACCUGCAGAAUAAGCACCGGCUAACUCCGUGCCAGCAGCCGCGGUAAUACGGAGGGUGCGAGCGUUAAUCGGAAUUACUGGGCGUAAAGCGCGCGUAGGCGGUUUGCUAAGUCCGCUGUGAAAGCCCUGGGCUUAACCUGGGAACUGCAGUGGAUACUGGUGAGCUAGAGUAUGGUAGAGGGUAGUGGAAUUUCCGGUGUAGCAGUGAAAUGCGUAGAGAUCGGAAGGAACACCAGUGGCGAAGGCGGCUAUCUGGACCAAUACUGACGCUGAGGUGCGAAAGCGUGGGGAGCAAACAGGAUUAGAUACCCCAGUAGUC
rnacentral:rRNA from 1 species